UCGGACAGAAUAACGUUCGUGUUUUUCAGAUUUCAAGACAUAGAUUUGCUGAUGAAUAACAUCGCAAAGAUCUUGGUGUAUUGUCUUCAUACAUGGCCACAACAACCCUUCAAAUAGACCAGACUAAACUAAAUUAACUUGACCACCAUAUUAACAUUCAAGGUAAAUUUUAAGAAGUUCGGCCUACAUGUCAGAUUUAUGAAUGUGAACAGCAGGAUAUCGAUUUUAAGGAUGCUUUAGGGUCAAUGACAAUGAAAUCAUGAGAGAUAAAGGCUAAAAUGUGAGACUGUCAAUCUGACUAACCUUGAAGUGAAUAAAUGGAAAAAUGUUUCUUUCAAUAGCAUGGGCAUUUAAGGAAGAGGAAACAGAGGCGCUUAUAUGAUAGAACAGAUAAAGCAGGAGCGAUAAGGAAAGAUACAUGUAGAUGCGUCUUCAUGUCGGAAACACUAAAGAAAUAGAAAUAUUGUGGUUUUAUAAAACUUAAAAGAAAUUGGAAUACCAGGAGACUGCCUGCCCUUUGCAAUGUUGGAUAAUGAGUUCUUAGAUGUGAUGUCGAAAGUCUCAUGAAUAUAGUACCAUGACUUAAUCUAAUUAGAAAAAGAAAUGACAUUGAGGAGAAAACUAGUCACCAGUCUUUCACCAAUAACUAGAGAUAACUUUCCAAUAUUAAAAAUAUCAUAAUAUGUAUAGAACUUUAAUGAGCCACCAGUUUUUCACCAGGAAAAUAAGAUCACUUAACUAUUUUUAGCUCACCUGUCACAAAGUGAGGGUGAGCUUUUUUGAUCGCUUUUCGUCCGGCGUCCGUCCAUAAAAUUUUACUUUAAAUGAAAUCUCCUCAUAAACCACUAAGCCAAUUUCAUCCAAACUUUACAGGAAUGUUCCUUUGGUGGUCACCUUUAAAUACUGUUCAUAGAAUUUAAUUUCAUGCAGAACGCUGGUUGCCAUGGCAACCAAAAGAAAAUGACAUAAAGUAUCUUCUUUUAAAGAACUCAAAGAGCUAGAGCUUAGACAAAGUAUCUUCUUUUAAAGAACCCAAAGAGCUAGAGCUUAGACAUUUGGCAUGAAACAUCUUCUAGUGAGUGUCUACCAAGUUUGUUCAAAUAAAAGCCCUGGGGUCAAAAUUGGCCCGGCCCCAAGGGGUCAUUGAUUUUCCCUAUAUGCAUAUAGUAAAAACUUAAAAAUCUUCUUUUAAAGAACCAAAAUAGCUAGAGUUUAGAUAUUAAGCAUGAAACAUCUUCUGGUAAGUGUCUACAAAGUUUGUUCAAAUAAAAGCCCUGAGGUCAAAAUUGGCCCCGCACCGGGGGUCAUUGAUUUUCCUUAUAUGUGUAUAGCAAAAACUUAAAAAUCUUCUUUGAAAAAACCCAAAUAGCUAGAGUUUAGAUAUUAAGCAUGAAACAUCUUCUGGUAAGUGUGUACAAAGUUUGUUCAAAUAAAAGCCCUGGGGUCAAAACUGGCCCCGCCCCAGGGGUUUCAUUGUUUUUAACUAUAUGUGUAUAGUAAAAACUUAAAAAAUCUUCUUUUAAAAAACCCAAUGAGCUAGAGCCUAGAUGUUUAGCAUGAAACAUCUUCUUAUGGUGUCUACCAAGUUUGGUCAAAUUUAAAGCCCUUGGAUAAAAAUUGGCCAUGCCGGGGUGGGUGGUGGUGCAGAGGUCUUUGUU